rnacentral:misc_RNA from 1 species
CGAAAUGCGAUAAGUAAUGUGAAUUGCAGAAUUCAGUGAAUCAUCGAAUCUUUGAACGCACCUUGCGCUCCUUGGUAUUCCUUGGAGCAUGCCUGUUUGAGUAUCAUGAAAUCUUCAAAGUAAAUCUUUUGUUAACUCAAUUGGUUUCUACUUUGGUAUUGGAGGUCUUUACAGCUUCACACCUGCUCCUCUUUGUUCAUUAGCUGGAUCUCAGUGUUAUGCUUGGUUCCACUCGGCGUGAUAAGUUAUCUAUCGCUGAGGACACUGUAAAAGGUGGCCAAGGUAAAUGCAGAUGAACCGCUUCUAAUAGUCCAUUGACUUGGACAAUACUUUUAUGAUCUGAUCUCAAAUCAGGUAGGACUACCCGCUGAACUUAAGC